UAAACCCAAUACAAUUUAUUGUACAACUUUCAAACUCCACAUAAUUGUUAUACUCUUUACAAAACUAUAUUCGAGAUAUGGACACACGCCCAGAUGUGAGUACUUACAGUUAUACUAGAGAUGAGAGGCAAAUUUCUUAUAUAGAGUGCCUUUUCAAUACAAACUGAGAGCUAAGAUUCCAUAUACUAACUCAUAAUGGCAUAUUGCAAGAUAUUCCCAACCGUAUAGCCACGCCCCUAUUGUACUUACAUUUAUACUAGAGAUUGCACGGAGGUAUAUCGCUUAUAUAGAGUGCCUUUCAAUACGAACUGCGAGCUACAAAUCCACAUAUUUAAUUAUAUUGGUAUAUUGCAGGAUAUAGUCGAGCAUAUAACCACGCCCAUAUAGAACUUGCAAUUAUACUAGAGACAGCAUAAGCGUAAUAUAUGCCAUACAUACAGCACGCUAAUAAUGAUCAAUAAAAGCACAAUUGUUUUCGACAGGAGUGAUCUUGUUGCGUAUAUAAUACCACGAGGUGACAAGUGUACUUACAGUGCUAUCGGUCAUGAGAUAAUUGUUAUCAUAAGCUAUGAAUUGGACUUCUCUGGGUCUGCGACGUGGAAGAAAUGGCGAGGGAGGUGUUGAGAGAGUAAUCGGAGCACUGCAUAUUCAAAAUGGAGCACUAUCAACCUGCCAGUCAUAACGACCUCGUUCUUUCGUGGAAAAGAUAAAGCGAGUGCAUGGAAUGUCUGGGAGGCGUUCCCAGAGGUCUCAUCGACUUUGAGUGCCUUUUCGGACCCUCCGAACAAGAAAACAGUUCUGGCAAGCAUCGGCACCCUUGAACGCUUUGUUGUCCUCCUCUACUCCAAGAUGAGCCAGCUCUCCUCUGUGAACGACGCCAGGAAGGAGAUGGUUGCGAGGAGAUAUCCCGCCUAUCUCGCGGGAGGAAAACCCGCCUACAUUCGCCGCCCUUCUACAGCACUGCAAAUGAGCUGCAUACCAGGCUGGCUAUGGGUUGAACAACCCACAUGCUUAUGGGACCCCACCCCAGUAAAGUAUUGUUCAGUAUAUUGCCAAUUUUUCUUUUAUUAUUGGUGUUGCGGUAAAAGCGUAAAAGCGACAAUAUACCUCCAUUCCUGUCAUCUCUAGUAUAAUUGUAAAUACCAUAGGGGCGUGGUAAUGCAAUUGAUUAUAUCCGGUAAUAUACCAAUAUAAGUAAGCAUGUGGAUUUGUAGCUCAUAGCUCGUAUUAAAGGCAAACUAUAUAUG